rnacentral:lncRNA from 10 species
CCUUUCCUCGCAUUUUGUUGUGGGAAGAGGAAGAUUGAAAACGGGAUCCUACUGGGAACAAAAUAUUUUUCAGCAUCUUGAGACCCAUGGGCAGGGCCUGGGCCUCAGUCUGGGGUGGAGAGUAGAGACUCCUUUAGGAGGCGGCUGAGAAUUAAACCCACUAAUUCAGCACGUCCUAGUCUGUCUCACUUCACGGUUCCCAGGGCCCUUUCCCACACAUUCUUUCAGUUCCUGCCAACAACUCUGUGAAAUAGAUGUUAUUACCCUCUUUUUAGGGAUGUGGAAACCGAAGCUAAGAAACCAAAUCAGGCUGCUCGUCAGUCACCAGAGUCGUUAGAAUACAGAACACAUCAAGCCCACCUUCAGACCUACUGAAUGAGAACCUCAGGUUUGUGAAGGGGUGGCCUGGGGAUCUGAAUGUAUAAUAAUCAGCCCUGGCUGGACACAGUGGCUCAUGCC